rnacentral:rRNA from 1 species
UGGGGAAUAUUGCACAAUGGGCGCAAGCCUGAUGCAGCCAUGCCGCGUGUAUGAAGAAGGCCUACGGGUUGUAAAGUACUUUCAGCGGGGAGGAAGGGAGUAAAGUUAAUACCUUUGCUCAUUGACGUUACCCGCAGAAGAAGCACCGGCUAACUCCGUGCCAGCAGCCGCGGUAAUACGGAGGGUGCAAGCGUUAAUCGGAAUUACUGGGCGUAAAGCGCACGCAGGCGGUUUGUUAAGUCAGAUGUGAAAUCCCCGGGCUCAACCUGGGAACUGCAUCUGAUACUGGCAAGCUUGAGUCUCGUAGAGGGGGGUAGAAUUCCAGGUGUAGCGGUGAAAUGCGUAGAGAUCUGGAGGAAUACCGGUGGCGAAGGCGGCCCCCUGGACGAAGACUGACGCUCAGGUGCGAAAGCGUGGGGAGCAAACA